rnacentral:rRNA from 1 species
CCUACGGGGGGCAGCAGUGAGGAAUAUUGGUCAAUGGGCGGAAGCCUGAACCAGCCAAGUCGCGUGAGGGAUUAAGGCCCUGCGGGUCGUAAACCUCUUUUGCCGGGGAGCAGUGGUCCGGACGCGUCCGGGCCGGGAGAGUACCCGGAGAAAAAGCAUCGGCUAACUCCGUGCCAGCAGCCGCGGUAAUACGGAGGAUGCGAGCGUUAUCCGGAUUUAUUGGGUUUAAAGGGUGCGUAGGCGGGCAUUUAAGCCGGCGGUCAAAUGUCGGGGCUCAACCCCGGCCUGCCGUCGGAACUGGGUGCCUUGAGUGGGCGAGAAGUAUGCGGAAUGCGUGGUGUAGCGGUGAAAUGCAUAGAUAUCACGCAGAACCCCGAUUGCGAAGGCAGCAUACCGGCGCCCGACUGACGCUGAGGCACGAAAGUGCGGGUAUCGAACAGGA